rnacentral:rRNA from 1 species
AAUGAACGCUGGCGGCAGGCCUAACACAUGCAAGUCGAACGGAUCCUUCGGGAUUAGUGGCGGACGGGUGAGUAACGCGUGGGAACAUACCCAAAGGUACGGAAUAGCCUCGGGAAACUGGGAGUAAUACCAUAUGUGGUCGAGAGACGAAAGAUUUAUCGCCAAAGGAUUGGCCCGCGUUGGAAUAGGUAGUUGGUGGGGUAAUGGCCUACCAAGCCGACGAUCCAUAGCUGGGUUGAGAGGAUGAUCAGCCACACUGGGACUGAGACACGGCCCAGACUCCGACGGGAGGCAGGAGUGGGGAAUCUUAGACAAUGGGGGAAACCCUGAUCUAGCCAUGCCGCGUGAGCGAUGAAGGCCUUAGGGUUGUAAAGAUCUUUCAGGUGGGAAGAUAAUGACUGUACCACCAGAAGAAGCCCCGGCUAACUCCGUGCCAGCCGCCGCCGUAA